UGAGGAAUAUUGGUCAAUGGGCGAGAGCCUGAACCAGCCAAGUAGCGUGCAGGAUGACGGCCCUAUGGGUUGUAAACUGCUUUUAUGUGGGGAUAAAGUGCGUGACGUGUCAUGCAUUGCAGGUACCACAUGAAUAAGGACCGGCUAAUUCCGUGCCAGCAGCAGCGGUAAUACGGAAGGUCCGGGCGUUAUCCGGCUUUAUUGGGUUUAAAGGGAGCGUAGGCUGUCUAUUAAGCGUGUUAUGAAAUAUACCGGCUCAACCGGUGGCUUGCAGCGCGAACUGGUCGAAUUGAGUAUGCAGGAAGUAGGCGGAAUUCAUGGUGUAGCGGUGAAAUGCUUAGAUAUCAUGACGAACUCCGAUUGCGCAGGCAGCUUACUGUAGCAUAACUGACGCUGAUGCUCGAAAGUGCGGGUAUCAAACAGG
rnacentral:rRNA from 1 species